GCAAAAUUAUAUCAGGGUGAAAUUUGAUCCGGAGGAAAAAAUGUCACAGUAGUUGUUGUUAUUUUUUUAUCCGGAGGAAAAUAUUUCCCUGGGAUAUUUUUUCCUUUGCCGUGAAAUUCUAUCUGGGUAGUUAACUUAUUGAAAAGUUAUUAGAAAAAACUUAUCCUUUAAAAAUACUAUGAAAUAAUAAUAGUGUAUUUGAAAUGAAGCGA
rnacentral:lncRNA from 1 species